AGUGAACGCUGGCGGUAGGCCUAACGCAUGCAAGUCGAACGGCAGCACAGUAAGAGCUUGCUCUUACGGGUGGCGAGUGGCGGACGGGUGAGGAAUACAUCGGAAUCUACUUUUUCGUGGGGGAUAACGUAGGGAAACUUACGCUAAUACCGCAUACGACCUACGGGUGAAAGCAGGGGAUCUUCGGACCUUGCGCGAUUGAAUGAGCCGAUGUCGGAUUAGCUAGUUGGCGGGGUAAAGGCCCACCAAGGCGACGAUCCGUAGCUGGUCUGAGAGGAUGAUCCGCCACCCUGGAACUGGGGCACCGUCCCGGCUCCUACGGGGAGGCAGAGGGGGGAAUUUUUGGCCAAUGGGGGAAACCUUGUCCCGGCCAUCCGGCGUGGGUGAGGAAGGCUUCCGGGUUUAAAAGCCCUUUUGUUGGGAAAGAAAACAGGAAGGUUAAUCCCCCGCUGUUUGGCGGUUACCAAAAGAUUAGACACGGGUAACUUCGUU
rnacentral:rRNA from 1 species